UUGACCUCAAAUCGGGUGGGACUACCCGCUGAACUUAAGCAUAUCAAUAAGCGGAGGAAAGGAAACUAACAAGGAUUCCCCUAGUAACGGCGAGUGAAGAGGGAAAAGCUCAAAUUUUGAAUCUGGUGUCUUUGGCGCCCGAGUUGUAAUCUAGAGAAGUGUUUUCCGCGUUGGACCGUUCACAAGUUUUCUGGAAUGAGGCUUCAUAGAGGGUGAGAAUCCCGUAUCUGGAACGGACUACCAAUGCUCUGUGAUACACUCUCAACGAGUCGAGUUGUUUGGGAAUGCAGCUCAAAAUGGGUGGUAAAUUCCAUCUAAGGCUAAAUAUUGGCGAGAGACCGAUAGCGAACAAGUACCGUGAGGGAAAGAUGAAAAGCACUUUGGAAAGAGAGUGAAACAGUACGUGAAAUUGUUGAAAGGGAAGCGUUUGAAGUCAGUCAUAUCCGUCGGGAUUCAGCUUGGCUUUUGCCUUGUGUACUUUCCGUCCGAUGGGUCAGCAUCAAUUCAGACCGAGGGAAAAAGGCGUUUGGAAUGUGGCUGUCUUCGGGCAGUGUUAUAGCCUCGCGUUGUAUGUCCCGGUUGGGAUUGAGGAACGCAGCGCGCCACUUAAUUGGCCGGGGGUUAAGUCCUCUCGUAUCGCGCUUAGGAUGCUGG
rnacentral:rRNA from 1 species